ensembl:Mt_tRNA
UACUGGGGUGGCAGAGCAUGGUAAAUUGCGAAAGGCCUAAGCCCUUUUAACCAGAGGUUCAAAUCCUCUUCCCAGUUU